UUUAUUUUCAGGGUUUAGUGAAGGUGGGUCAUUUUUUACCCUUGGGACAAUGGGAGUAAACAGACUGCUAAGACUACACAAGGGUUAAGUCAAGUAUUUACAAGGUGUCUAGUCAUUUCUGGUGGUUAAUGUCUAAUUGACCACACAUUAGUGCAAGUUGAAGUGUUGUCAGUGCUACACAGGUGUCUGUAGUCUAGGUGCUCGUUAUAAGUGCUUGAAAUCAUAGAUUGCUGUGUUCCAGAGCAUCAAGACCGUGAUCGAAGGGUCAAUUGUGACUGAAUUACUGAGCUACUAAUAAUAUUAAGUAGUUAUUUAUAAGUCAAGGUUACUCUAAAUCACUCUCGACUCGCCUUAAAAGUCAUCUGCAAUGUGGAACGUCCAACAAUUCAUUGACACAGUUGUGACUGACUCCUUCAUAGCCGUCGGCCAGCUCUUUCACAUCCACCAUCUAAUUGAAGUGAAAGGACAGAAAUGUUGAAAGUGUGUUUUCUGCAGCACCAGUAACCUCAAGAUACUUCACUCACUACAGCUGCUUUUGAAGAACUUUCCAGGUGUUUGUGAUUUACAUUCCGACUUUUGAAAUGUCUCCUUGAUUGGACAUAUUUAGCUAAUAAAAAAGAACAAUAUAUAAAGCAUGCAUCUGUUUUAAGGUUAUUGUGUUUGUGUGUGUGGUGUAGUUCCUCUUGGUGUCCACUAGGUGGCAUUACAGUUUCAAUA